UACGUAGGGUGCAAGCGUUAAUCGGAAUUACUGGGCGUAAAGCGUGCGCAGGCGGUUGUGCAAGACAGAUGUGAAAUCCCCGGGCUUAACCUGGGAAUUGCAUUUGUGACUGCACGGCUAGAAUCUGGCAGAGGGGGGUAGAAUUCCACGUGUAGCAGUGAAAUGCGUAGAGAUCAGGAGGAACACCUGUGGUGUAGACAGCUUACUGGACGAUAACUGACGCUGAGGCACGAAAGCGUGGGUAGCAAACAGG
rnacentral:rRNA from 1 species